rnacentral:rRNA from 1 species
GGUGGAAUUUUCCGCAAUGGGCGCAAGCCUGACGGAGCAAGACCGCGUGAGGGAGGAAGGCUCUUGGAUUGUAAACCUCUUUUAUCAGGGAAGAAGAUCUGACGGUACCUGAUGAAUCAGCAUCGGCUAACUCCGUGCCAGCAGCCGCGGUGAUACGGAGGAUGCAAGCGUUAUCCGGAUUUAUUGGGCGUAAAGCGUCCGCAGGUGGUUUUUCAAGUCUGCUGUUAAAGCGCAGAGCUUAACUCUGUAACGGCGGUGGAAACUGAGAGACUAGAGUAUGGUAGGGGUUGCGGGAAUUCCCAGUGUAGCGGUGAAAUGCGUAGAUAUUGGGAAGAACACCAGCGGCGAAAGCGCGCAACUGGGCCAUUACUGACACUCAUGGACGAAAGCUAGGGGAGCGAAAGGGAUUAGAUACCCCUGUAGUCCUAGCUGUAAACGAUGGGUACUAGGUGUUGACCGUAUCGACCCGGUCAGUGCCGUAGCUAACGCGUUAAGUACCC